rnacentral:rRNA from 1 species
GACGAACGCUGGCGGCGUGCCUAACACAUGCAAGUCGAGCGGAGACAGUGAGUAGCUUGCUAUGAGCUGUUUUAGCGGCGGACGGGUGAGUAACGCGUGAGCAACCUUUCCCAGACAGGGGAAUAACACACCGAAAGGUGUACUAAUACCGCAUAAGACCACGGGAUCACAUGGUUCUGGGGUAAAAGAUUUAUCGGUUUGGGGUGGGCUCGCGUCCGAUUAGGUAGUUGGUGAGGUAACGGCCCACCAAGCCGACGAUCGGUAGCCGACCUGAGAGGGUGAUCGGCCACAUUGGGACUGAGACACGGCCCAAACUCCUACGGGAGGCAGCAGUGGGGAAUAUUGGGCAAUGGGGGGAACCCUGACCCAGCAACGCCGCGUGGAGGAAGAAGGUUUUCGGAUCGUAAACUCCUGUCCUUGGAGACGAGUAGAAGACGGUAUCCAAGGAGGAAGCCCCGGCUAACUACGUG